UACGGAGGGUGCAAACGUUGUUCGGAAUCACUGGGCGUAAAGGGCGCGCAGGCGGUUUGAUUAGUCAGAUGUGAAAGCCCACGGCUUAACCGUGGAAGUGCAUUUGAAACUGUCAGACUUGAGUACCAGAGGGGGUAGUGGAAUUCCCGGUGUAGAGGUGAAAUUCGUAGAUAUCGGGAGGAAUACCGGUGGCGAAGGCGACUACCUGGCUGGAUACUGACGCUGAGGCGCGAAAGCGUGGGGAGCAAACAGGAUUAGAUACCCCUGUA
rnacentral:rRNA from 1 species